rnacentral:misc_RNA from 1 species
GUUUCCUUAUCAUGGUACUAAACUUGGGAUAUCUCCUUUCCAACAAAAAAAGAAUUAUCAAAAUCGCGUCAAGUAAAAACGCAUUAUUAGAUAUGUUGCAGUCAAAACUCUUAACCAGUCAAAAGCACUAUUGACUAGCAAAAUCAGUCAGAAGUACUUUUGACCGUUUGCUUUAGUCAAUAAUACUUUUGACUAAAAUAACAGUUAAAAGUACUUUUGCCCAAUGGAGCUGGUUAAAAGUACUUUUGACUAAAUGAUUCCGUC